GUGGGACCACGUGGAAUCUAUUACAGGGAGUGGAGUGGGGUAGUGGCCAUUGUCGUGACUUGCCAGAGAGUUCAGACCUGUUGGCUGAAGCUCGACUGGGAUGUCUGAUGGAGCGGAAUGACUUUCUGUCCCUAUAAUUUGGGAGAAGCUCGGAUGUUCUUGAAGUUGUUGAUGGGUUAACAAUUGUGGAGUGCCGUUGGUGCUGCAGACGGGAGUCAUCUGCUGUAGAAGCUCGGAUAGGAACCACCUGUUGAAGAAGCCCGGUAGGAGUCCGAUCG
rnacentral:lncRNA from 1 species